GGGUGAAAUCAUACUAACAUUAAUGCACCAAAUACCAUCAUAACUUCAUAGUUAAGUGGUCUUGGGAUAGAGUAGUAUUGGGAUGGGUGACCUCCUAGGAAUUCCUAGUGUUGCACCCU
rfam:Picea glauca, whole genome shotgun sequence.